rnacentral:lncRNA from 1 species
UGUGGGUUUUUUUGUUUUAUUUUUUUUUUAAACUGGUCUGGUGCCUUUCAUGUACAAAAUGUCUAUCCGUCAAAAAGUACAGCUGUCCUUUGUUAGGACUUCUAUGAUCACCUGUUAGACACCUUUAACUCUGGGUGUUGCUCCUGGGUAAGUUAGUGAAGCUGAAGUUAGAUUAAGACAUUCAGUCAGAUCACACAGCUGGUAAACAGCAAAAUGAGGGUGGAAGCCCAGGUCUGUGGACACAGGCCACUCUGCUCAGACCCAGUUGCUCACAUCAGGCAUAAAUGAUUUGGGACAGUAUCAUGGAAACAAGGGGCCAUUGGCCACCUUCACUCUGCAGAGCUGGCCUGCACACGUAAACUCUGUUGGUACUUUUUCACAUCACCAAGUAAGAGUCUUAUCCUUGGCAUGGACAAUAAAAAGCAUCCAGCCCAUUCCUGUCUGCAUGUUAGCAGUAGUCCACAGACAGACUGAGGAGUGGCCAGGAAAAGUUGCCCAAGGGAAGGAACACAACUUGAACUCAGGUUUGAGAAGUAGGAAACCUGGAAGAGGUAGAAGGAGGUGCCAGAUCAGGAGCUAGAUGGUCUCUGUACAUUAAAGGACCAAUUUCAGGCUCUUUUUAGAGUAUUUAGAGCUACAUGAUGUGGGCACAGAAUGUGCACCAAGGAACAGUGAGACUUAUUCCUCCAGGUAAGCUGGCAGGAUGGAGGCAGGCAGUGUGAUCUCAAAUGUACCCUUGGCCUCCAAGUAUCAGUCCAUAGUAUACAAAGCCUUCUAACAAACAGGAAGUGUCAAAUGGGCUGCUCCUGUCUCCGCACACCUUGAAGUCUUACCAGGCCCACAGUGAGCUCAGGAUCGGCCCGGUGUUACAUAGCUGGGAUUUAGCUAUGGGCCUCGUAGUAAAUCUAGAACCAUUUUCACCUAGAACCUUCUCUAGCUGCGUUGAAAGUACUGCCGCCCUUCUCAGAGGAUUACCUGCAAGAAUGGCAGGUCCAGCACUCAUGAGGACCUGAGGCAAGGAUAGGAGUCAUCGCCUUGAAACCCUGGGUUUCCUUCCUUUUCAUGCCAAUGAGGACUCCGAGUCUGGCCAGAGCCGUCUUCCCUGUUCUUCCCAUAGCCUAGCUUCACCACUCGGGAGAGCAUGUUCUUUGAAAGCACCAUUAAGGGCAUAUGCUUGAGAGCUGAUUAUUUCACAGUAUCCCAGCAGCCCUAUAUCCCACUGCCUACAAACUGUUGAGGUCCACAUGUCUCAGAAUAGCCAAUUGUCUCUCUGCCCUCUAACCAAUUCAGGAAUGUUACUGAUAGCUAUUAUCAACACAAAAUAAAGCCAACCAUCUUCUGGGAACAGAGCUUAGUGAAGCACUUGCCUAGUAAGGUAAAUAAAGCCCUGGGUUUGAUCCCAGCACCACAAACAAAAGUCAGCAGUUAACUCCGAGGGAAGCCAGGCAGUACCACACACCUCUAACCCCAGUACUCAGGAUGCAGAGGCAGGCAAGUCACCAGCAGCUCUAUACUGUGAGACCCUGUCUCGAAAAAAGGGGGGUGGGGGCGCACACGUAGAAGCUUCGUGUGUGGGCUCAGGACUCUGAUCCUAGUACUGGGAUGCAGAGACGGGGAGGAGCAGGAGCCCAGGCUCAUCCUUAGCUACAUUAAGUUCUAUGAGAUAGUGUAUGAAACAGCACAUGGUACAUGGUAAACUUGUAGGUAGAAGCUGGUUUGGUUGUUUUCUGUGUUGGGUGUUGAACUUGGGGCCUUGUACAUUCUUAGGCAGUUUCUUCUACCUAGCUACAGCCCAGCCCUAAGUUUUGUUUUCUGCUUUUUCUUUGGUGUUAGGAAUUAACCCAGGGUCACCCAUAGGUUAGCCAUGUGGUCUAGCACUGACCCACAUCCCCAGUCAUGAGUCAUUUUCUUAACAAAAUUCAGAACACUAGUAAUCUGCUGUGGCACCCAGGAACUUGAGAGACUGAGGCGUAAGGUUACCAUGAGAAAGAAAUUCAACAACAAAUUUUAUUACAAGGGGGGAAUAUAAGUUAAUCGUGGUUUUUUGGGUUUUUUUGUUUUAAGAGUGUUGAUCCAAAAAUUAAACUGACUCUUACUCACUGG